rnacentral:rRNA from 1 species
CCCUUAGAUGUUCUGGGCCGCACGCGCGCUACACUGUUCGACGCAGCGAGUCUUAACCUUGACCGAAAGGUUUGGGUAAUCUUCAGCAAAGUCGAACGUGAUGGGGAUCGAUCAUUGCAAUUAUUGAUCGUGAACGAGGAAUUCCUAGUAAGUGCAAGUCAUCAGUUUGCGCUGAUUACGUCCCUGCCCUUUGUACACACCGCCCGUCGCUACUACCGAUUGAAUGGUUUAGUGAGAUCUCUGGAUUGACGCUGGCUAGGGGGCGACCCUUGGCCAGGCUGUCGAGAAACUGCUCAAACUUGAUCAUUUAGAGGAAGUAAAAGUCGUAACA